CCUACGGGUGGCAGCAGUGAGGAAUAUUGGUCAAUGGGCGCGAGCCUGAACCAGCCAAGUAGCGUGAAGGAUGACUGCCCUACGGGUUGUAAACUUCUUUUAUAAAGGAAUAAAGUGAGGCACGUGUGCCUUUUUGUAUGUACUUUAUGAAUAAGGACCGGCUAAAUCCGUGCCAGCAGCCGCGGUAAUACGGAGGGUCCGAGCGUUAUCCGGAUUUAUUGGGUUUAAAGGGAGCGUAGACGGGUUGUUAAGCGUGUUGUGAAAUUUUGCGGCUCAACCGUAAAAUUGCAAUUGGUACUGGCUGCCUUGAGUACAGUUGAGGUAGGCGGAAUUCGUGGUGUAGCGGUGAAAUGCUUAGAUAUCACGAAGAACUCCGAUUGCGAAGGCAGCUUACUAAACUGCCACUGACAUUGAUGCUCGAAGGUGUGGGUAUCGAACAGGAUUAGAUACCCUAGUAGUC
rnacentral:rRNA from 1 species